rnacentral:rRNA from 1 species
AUUGAACGCUGGCGGCAGGCCUAACACAUGCAAGUCGAACGGUAACAGGAAGCAGCUUGCUGCUUCGCUGACGAGUGGCGGACGGGUGAGUAAUGUCUGGGAAGCUGCCUGAUGGAGGGGGAUAACUACUGGAAACGGUAGCUAAUACCGCAUAACGUCGCAAGACCAAAGAGGGGGACCUUAGGGCCUCUUGCCAUCGGAUGUGCCCAGAUGGGAUUAGCUAGUAGGUGGGGUAACGGCUCACCUAGGCGACGAUCCCUAGCUGGUCUGAGAGGAUGACCCGCCACACUGGAACUGAGACACGGGCCCGACUCCUACGGGGGGCAGGAGUGGGGAAUAUUGCACAAUGGGGGGAAACCUGAUGCAGCCCUGCCGCGUGUAUGAAGAAGGCCUUCGGGUUGUAAAGUACUUUCAGCGGGGAGGAAGGGAGUAAAGUUAAUACCUUGGCUCAUUGACGUUACCCGCAGAAGAAGCACCGGCUAACUCCGUG